GGAGGAGGCCAGGCGACCGCUGGUCUCUAGAGAGGCUGGAGGAAAGUCCGAGCUCCACAGGGCAUGGUGCUGGCUAACGGCCAGUGGGGGCGACCCCAAGGAGAGUGCCACAGAAAACAAACCGCCCCGCCCUCUUGGGGGCCGGGGUAAGGGUGAAACGGCGAGGUAAGAGCUCACCAGUCCCGGAGGCGACUCCGG
rnacentral:RNase_P_RNA from 1 species